rnacentral:misc_RNA from 1 species
AAUGAACUGUUGCAAGCAUACAUAUAUAAUAAACGAAAGAACAUUAUCCGUAGGGUGGGUGAGGGAGAGAGGCGUGCUGGGGAAAGUAGAGAAGAAUUCCACUGCUAAUAAUGUUUCAUUUGUUCAUAAUUCCUAAACCUACAAUGUAAAAAGAUUCAUACAAUAAUUUUAACAUUUUUAGAUUUAAGAUUCAUACAAUAAUUAGUUGAUUAUGCAAAUCCAAUUAUAUUAAGUUUUGUGUCCAUCUGAUACAUCAUUGAACAUAGCAGUACUUAGAUUCAUCUCAUGAGUAGAGUUUACUUUUGGAUUUGGAACCAUUGGAAAAAAAAAUAACGCCAAUG